rnacentral:rRNA from 1 species
GAUUCAUAGUAACCGAACGGAUCGCAUUAUAGUCAUUUUAUAUGGCUGGCGAAGAUCAUUCAAGUUUCUGACCUAUCAGCUUUCGACGGUAGUGUAUUGGACUACCGUGGCAGUGACGGGUAACGGGGAAUUAGGGUUCGAUUCCGGAGAGGGAGCCUGAGAAACGGCUACCACAUCUAAGGAAGGCAGCAGGCGCGCAAAUUACCCAAUCCUGACUCAGGGAGGUAGUGACAAGAAAUAACAACACUGGAAAUUUUAUUUCUAGUGAUUGGAAUGAUGGGAAUUUAAACCCCUUUCAGAGUAACAAUUGGAGGGCAAGUCUGGUGCCAGCAGCCGCGGUAAUUCCAGCUCCAAUAGCGUAUAUUAAAGUUGUUGCAGUUAAAAAGCUCGUAGUUGGAUAUCUGCUGGAAGCAAUCAGUCCGCCCUAUUUGUAGGGUGUGCACUUGAUGAAUUCUGGCAUCUAUGUCCCGAUAAUAUAACGUGGAGGUCGUCCUCCCGUUUAUUGGGAACAUACUGUUACUUUGAGAAAAUUAGAGUGUUUGAAGCAGGCUAAUUGCCUUGAAUACUGCAGCAUGGAAUAACAAUAUAGGAUUUCGGUUCUAUUUUGUUGGUUUCUAGGACUGAAAUAAUGAUUAAUAGGGACAGUUGGGGGCAUUCGUAUUUAACUGUCAGAGGUGAAAUUCUUAGAUUUGUUAAAGACGAACUACUGCGAAAGCAUUUGCCAAAGAUGUUUUCAUUAAUCAAGAACGAAAGUUAGGGGCUCGAAGACGAUCAGAUACCGUCGUAGUCUUAACCAUAAACUAUGCCGACUAGAGAUAGUAAAAAUGUCAUUUCGCUGACUUCACCUGCAC